GCUGGGCACGGUGGCGCGUGCCUGUAAUCCCAGGUACUCAGGAGGCUGAGGCAGGAGAAUUGCCUGAACCCAGGAGGCGGAGGUUGCGGUGAGCCGAGAUCGCGCCAUUGCACUCCAGCCUGGGUAACAAGAGCGAAACUCCGUCUCAAAAAAAAAAAAGANNNNNNNNNNGAGACAGGGUCUCACUCUGUCGCCCAGGCUGGAGUGCAGUGGCAUGAUUUCAGCUUAUUGCAACCACUGCCUCUGGGGUUCAAGUGAUUCUCCUGCCUCAG
rnacentral:SRP_RNA from 1 species